UUUAAACUUCAGCCAGGUGUGCAAAACCCUGUAAGGAGUUCUUGGAGAUACUUUGUCUUUGGGGAGACACAAGAAAUCCCUGAAGAUGAGAGCUGCACUCCUGUACUUGUCUCUCUGUUGGUUGGUCUGGGCUGAAUCAGAGCUUCAACCUCAUCAUAGGAAGGCUAAGCAUAAGUGUGCGGGAGAACACCAGAUUAUGGUCAAAGGACGGCAUGCCAAUCAUGGGUUCUACAUAUUUAACUAUGUAUAUUCGUCUUCAGUCCCAAACAAUCAAACACAGAUUGAGAAAGAAGAGAACAAAGAGAACGUUUCCAGUGCCCCUGAUGGUUUUGACCAAAAACCCAGGAAGCCUAUUGAUAAGUUCACUGAUCAUACACAAGAGACAAGACAGGGGCGGAAGGUAGAAAAAGGAAAAGAAGUUAAGCCUGAGAGUAGAAGAACUUCUGAAAGCCGUCAGAGUUUGAAUGAACAUCGUGAAAACCCUAGAAAUGUGGAUCUCCGCCAUUAUCACCUAAAGGUCGAUGUAGACAAAGGAAGAAAUGAAAUUGCCACGGAUGAUACCACCACUGACAUAGAUGGAAGUGGGGAUGCAGGCUUUCCAGGACAAGAGGGCCCCCGUCGUGGCCUCAUUGUUGACAAGAGGCCUCAUGAACAAGAAAAAGACCAACAGAUCACAAGGGGAACCAUCACUGAUAGAUCUGGGAAGAAAGAUAAAGAUGGCAAAUCUGGAAUAUCCAGUAGUACCAAGUCUUCCAAAUAUGACUACAUCAAAAUUGGGGUGAAAGAAAAUGAUUCUUCCCUUUCCAGUGUAAUCCAAGAAACCAACUCUGACCGUUUUAUUCCUAAGAAAAUGAAAGACUUACAAAGCAAAGAUUAUUCAAAGGUUCCUUUGAAAGGCAAUGCCAUUCCCACCAAUAAGGAAUCAGGUAGAAAAGAAUGGAGUGGUCACAUAGAUUUGCAAGGCAGAGAGGGUAGUGUAAGUGCUACAUUAAAUAGUCAUCUCAAUGGACAAAGCAACCAUUCUAGGGAUAUUCCAGGGAACGCAGGACACGGAAGCAAAAGCAAUUACACCAGCAUUUCAGGCUCUGGUAAAAUUAAAAUAGCUAAUAAAAAGGGCACUCACAAUGCUACAGAACAUGGGAAACAUGAUUAUGAAGCUACUAUGAUAAUUAGGAAACAGAAUGUGGAGAAGGAGCAAUCUGGAGUUUCUAAAUCACACAAAGACGUGGAAGUGAGAGGUGAUAUAUUUAGUAGCCAUGUGAAAAUAAAUGAUAAAGUCAAAUUAUACAAAAAAGAUGAAACAAGAGGUGAAAUUCUUAAGGGGGAGUCUAAGACCCAUAAAGAAGCAUCUGGCAUUUCCAAAACACCUAAAAAAGGUGACAGUAAUGUUGGUGUCACAAAGAAAUUUAUCAGCGACCUAGAGGAUCCUGUUUUCACUAAACCAGAUAAAACCAAUUACAGUGGGAUCAUCUUGGAUGGAUUUGGAAUUGCCCAGUCACACUCCAAAGAUGACAUGGCUUUGCGUGGAAGGAUUUCUGGCAACCAAAUAUCAGGUUCUGAUGUAAAACAAGAGGGCAGAAAAGCGGUUGGUAGAGUUGGUACCACUCACCAAAAGUCAAGUGCUGGUAAAGAAGCUAUUGGUUUGGCCAAACCUCAUCGAAAAGAAGUUGAUAGGAAGGGUCAUAAAAGCUCACUGCGUGAUCGAGAGACCCAUGAAAAAGGCAAAACUGGAUCUGAUGUUAAAGCGGUAAAAGUCCACGAGGACAUCAUAAAAGUGAAUACAAGUUACAAUAAAGUUCCUGAAGAUGAUGCAAAUUUGAGGCAGAGGAAUACUAUAUACUAUUCUUCUGACAGAAAGGCAGAACGCAGGAGUCCAAAGUCUAUCCGGGUCAAAAGUACCCCAUCUUUCCCUCAUAGAUCUCAUAACAACGUUCAACAUCCUUUGACUAGUCCAAAGGAUGACAGACCUAAAAUCCAGGAACAUUCUUCAACCUCUGUGAAAAGGAUUAAAACAGUUACAAAGCCAGACAAAAAGUCAGCUAAGACUGGUUCCAGAACAUAUGGAAGUAAGAUAGCUAAGCAAUACCAUGGGCAUUCAAGUACCUUGCGAAGAAAGAGCAGCCAACAUGACAGAAUGCACUCAUCACUUAAGAGAAGCCACAAAAGUGAUAGCAGUCAGUCCUCUGAGAGUUGGGAAAACAGUUGGCAGGACAGUCGCCGGUCAUACGAAGACUACCAGAAUGACAAAGUUGACAGUUACCAGUCAGCAGAGAGCCUUGAAGAAGACCUUUCUCUUGAGAGCAAUGAAAGUGAUGACCGGAGCCAAAUGGAAGAUCGGAAGUCUAAUUCUCAAGAGGAUUCUCAUGAACACAAAAGCAGUGCUUAAAUGCAUAGGUACAGGUUGGAAAAUAGUAUCUUCUUACACUUAGGACAUACACCCAGAAAUAAUUAAGGAGUAACAUGGUUGGUGUGAUGUCAGACUUACAGUGCAUUCUUAUGUAUGUCUACAUAAAUGAGUUUUUGAGUUCAGUGAGGCUAACAGGUUAUUAUUUCUGGAAUCAUAGCAUUAAAGCUGAGCUGUAGGUGAUCACAGAUAUUUGCAGCUUUGCAUCCUUUAUGUAAGGACAAGGAAGAACUGUAAGAUGUUCCAAAUGAUGCCUUCUUCAUUGUAUUUCUAGCCAUAGGAGCAAAUAGAUCUCCCCUAUUCUCUGAUGGCCACUAAAUGGCCAUGGAAAAGAGGCCUCCACAGGAGACAAGUACAGUCAGUUGGUCUGGAUUCAAUCAUCCAGAGCUUGAAAAUAUUCAAAAAGCAAACUUUGGUUCCCUGUUUUUAUAAGGGACACAGUUUUUAUGCCAUUGUAUAUAAUGGUACUUGAUAAUCCAUGGACUUUGGAAUACAGGCAUCCUAGAAUCAAACUCAAGGAUAUCAAGGCCUCGAAGUCUAUGUUACUCAAGGGAUGUAGUAAGAUUUCUCUACAACAAGAAAAAACAACAUGGUUUAUGCCUAUCUGUGUCAUUAGCAGGAAAAUAGCCAUAAUUCCCUCUGGCUGUUCCUGCUUUUUAGCUUCUGUGUUCUUCCUCAUUGAUAAUUUUUGCCAUCUUGACCACAGUAUGAUGUUGUUUGGCCUCAUGUGCCCCAGAUUUUAUUUGUAAAAUGUUGAGAGGUAUGAUGACUUGCCAAGUUCCCACUGAAUGUGUGAGCUAUACUUAAGGCUAAUAAAAUAUAUAGUACUGCCUUCCUACCUACAAACCAAAAUAAGUAAACUGAGAUGGUUAUACUUUGGAUACAACAUGAGAAGGCUUAACUUACUAUAAAAGACAAUAAUGUUUGCAAGACCUGAGCUGGAUGACAGGAUGAUUUGGAAGUCUCUUAAUUAUAGGCUUGGCAUAAGUCAAAGUCAAUGUGGUGCGAGUAAACAACAACAAAAUUCCAUCCUAUCGUUGCCUGGGAUGUACAGAUACCAAGAAUAAUUCUGAAAAAAUAUUAAAGAACCCAAGGAUAUUAUGGUCUCUUAUCCAAUUGGCAACCUCAACUAGAAUAGACCCAUUAAAAUUAUGGUAUCUAGAGUAACUGCUGACUGAGUGAAUAACAAUUCAGUUUAAGGUACUUUUCUUUCACGGUAACUUCCAAAGACUAAUGCUGAGGUUGCAAUGCUAAGUUGUUUAGCUAAAGGGCUGAAAAGAAGUUUUAUUGUUUAAGUUUUCUUUGGGUACUCACAUUUUGAAACAAUACGGACAAUAUAUCUAUAAAAUAUAGUAUGUACUGUAGUAACUGAUGCUGUAUUGAUGUUGUAUACAAAUAAAGUUCAGCUUUAUAAUCCAGCUUUUAGACAACUUGAUUUAGAAAGAAACAUCCACACAGG
rnacentral:lncRNA from 11 species